GCUGGGCGUGGUGGCGCAAGCCUGUAGUCCCAGCUACUCAGGAGGCUGAGGCAGGAGAAUUGCUUGAACCUGGGAGGCAGAGGUUGCAGUGAGCUGAGAUUGUGCCACUGCACUCUAGCCUGGGUGACAGAGUGAGACUCUGUCUCAA
rnacentral:sRNA from 1 species